CACGUAGGGCGCGAGCGUUGUUCGGAGUUACUGGGCGUAAAGGGCGCGUAGGCGGCGCACCAAGUCAGGCGUGAAAGCCCUGGGCUCAACCCGGGAAUUGCGCUUGAGACUGGUGUGCUUGAGUACGGGAGAGGAUAGUGGAAUUCCCAGUGUAGAGGUGAAAUUCGUAGAUAUUGGGAAGAACACCGGUGGCGAAGGCGGCUAUCUGGACCGUAACUGACGCUGAGGCGCGAAAGCGUGGGGAGCAAACAGG
rnacentral:rRNA from 1 species